AUUGAACGCUGGCGGCAGGCUUAACACAUGCAAGUCGAACGAGUGGCGGACGGGCGAGUAAUGCUUGGGAAUCUAGCUUAUGGAGCGGGAUAACUACGGGAAACUUUAGCUAAUACUGCGUACCACAGGAUGAGCCCAAGCGGGAUUAGGUAGUUGGUGAGGUAAAGGCUCACCAAGCCGACGAUCUAUAGCUGGUCUGAGAGGAUGACCAGCCACACUGGGACUGAGACACGGCCCAGACUCCUACGGGAGGCAGCAGUGGGGAAUCUUUCGCAAUGGGGGCAACCUGACGCAGCCAUGCCGCGUGAAUGAAGAAGGCUUUCGGGUUGUAAAGUUCUUUCGGUAGAGAAGCGUUAACUACAGAGGAAGCACCGGCUAACUCCGUGCCAGCAGCCGCGGUAAUAC
rnacentral:rRNA from 1 species